CAGAUAGGUAGUAGUUCAUGAUUAUUUUAAAGUGCACAGUUACAAAAGAACAGAAACAUAUCAUUUAUGUGCUAUGACUUUGUAAAACUAAAACCAAUAAUAAAUCAAUGAAUUCAAUCAAAAUUUUUAAUAAAAAAAAUUUUUUUUUUUGGUUGAGGCCAAAAAUUUUUUUAGAGGCCAAAUUUGAGGCCAGGCCAAAAUUUGGGAUGGAGCAUAAUUAGAGGCCAAAAUUGGGGCCAGGCCAACUUUGAGGCCAGGCCAGGCCAAUGGGGCCAGGCCAGGUUUUAUAGUAUGCCGUAAAUUUUUGCAUGUAUUGGGAGCAAAUUACAUAAAGGUCACCAUGUUUUAUAUGACCUUUUAUGAGUAAACCUCCUGGCGAUACCACGCAAACAACAGAUGAUACAUGCUAGUACCUGCAUCACCCGUAUAGGGCUGACGAUUUUGACAGUUUUGUUACUAAAUACGAUCACUGAAUCAGCCGCAUAAAUUACGACGCAAAUGUGUCACUGAAACUGGCAGAUCACGCCACCAUUUAAUAUAUACGGUAUACGAUUGUAUUAGUCAUUGUCAGCUUUUGAGAUUCAGAGAUACACACCGAGAGAUUAUCAUAGGAUUAAAUUUGGAUUACGAUUGUGAUUUUGUUGAGAGAGAGAAUAUUUAGCUUUUCACAUUUUGUGCUAAAUACGAACCUGGAAUUGUUGCUAUGAAGUUCUUGUUGGUAUAAAACUCUGGAUAUAAAAUAUUGUUAGAACACAACCGCAGUUUCAGACUUUGUUAGUCUUCCAAAUAAACUCAAGUAAAAGGAUUACAAGUGGUUUAUUUUUGAUGCCGUGACCAGGAUAAAGGAAAGAAUUGAAGACAAGGAUUAAAGACAAGGAGACGAAGGCGAUAAUUUAGAUGGGACACCAGUAUGAAGAAGUUCCAGUCGAAUUAGUAAAUCUGGAAAUGCCUGAUAAAGAUAAUUGAAUAGUUGGGUGGCGAAAAGGAAAAACCUUUAGAUAUUUUCAGGUUGAAACAGACGAGAUUGAUAUCCAUUUUGUUCAUGAGAACAAUCGCGUGAGAGUGAUCUUACUCGGAGGAAUACGCGUUAUUUCGGAUGAAUCGGAUGACGAUGAUGACGACGAUUCAUUACCCGGUAUUGACGACCCCGACUCGAAUAUAGACAAUGAUAAUGACACGAAGAAAACGUUAAUGAAGGUACCAGACAAUAUCAGACCUCGCCAGCAUGGAAGGGAACGUUAAUUAUGGUGCUCUCAUCAGACAGUUGUAAAUAAUCAUGAAAACUAGAACAAAAUAAAGCUUCAAAUACACUA